GCCGGGGGGACGCGGCUGGAGCCAAGCGGGGCCUGGCACCCUGUGCCCACCCACAGUGCCAGCCCAGUUUCCAUUACGACUGGGACACCAGCUCCAGCAGCAUGAAUGACCCUAUGGUGGACUCGGGCAAAGCCAGUGACAUCUCAGUGUCCAGCUGGCCCACGGAGCCCAUCCAGUGGGCUCCCUUCCCUCUCCACCAGCUUUCCAGGCAGCGACCGCACAAGGCGCGCUGGCCGCAGUCGUUCUGCGAGGGGCUGGAGCUGGGCACGCUGGAGAGGAGCUGGACGGCCUGAGCCCCCGGAAACAGACGGACACGAGGUUCAGCUUUAAAACCAACCACAUUUUAUUUCCACGUAACGAGCUCAGUGAAGGAAUCCACACACUUGGACGAUACAAUCAACGCGGGUGUGAUGUCAGUGAUGUCAGUCCCAGCGGGGCAGGGCCCGGCGAGCCCCGGCCCCGGCUCCUGUCCGCGCCUCGCAAGCUCUGGCUGGGACUGCGGCUCCAGAGCAGGCAGAUACAGAGAGGUGUCAGGACACACAGUGCUGGCAUCCACCAGGUCGUGACUUUUGGGGGCAGUCUGGGCAGAAAGGCUGGCGGUUCCGGAGGGCGCGUCGGGCUCUGGACGCAGCGGCUCUGCCCCGCGGCCGCCGCAGGACGAGCUCAGCCACGCCGCAGGGAGGGAGGGAGACACACGAAAGCGCUGCUGCGUCGUUCAUCAUGAUUCAUGUCAAUGAGGUAUAAACACCAGGAUGUUGUAAGCAUUAAAGUUUAUUUUCCAAAAUGC